CCUGGUGGCUCAGAUGGUAAAGCGUCUGCCUGCAAUGCAGGGGACCUGGGUUCAAUCCCUGGGUCAGGA
rnacentral:tRNA from 1 species